rnacentral:rRNA from 1 species
CCUACGGGAGGCUGCAGUGAGGAAUAUUGGUCAAUGGGCGGAAGCCUGAACCAGCCAAGUAGCGUGCGGGAUGAAGGCCCUACGGGUCGUAAACCGCUUUUGCACGGGGAUAACACCCUCCACUUGUGGAGGUCUGCAGGUACCGUGCGAAUAAGGGCCGGCUAAUUCCGUGCCAGCAGCCGCGGUAAUACUGAAGGCCCGAGCGUUAUCCGGAUUCAUUGGGCUUAAAGGGAGCGUAGGCGGGCGUUCAAGUCAGCUGUAAAAUCGCGCGGCUCAACCGCGCCCCGCAGUUGAAACUGGACGCAUUGAGUUCACAACAGGCAGGCGGAAUUCGUGGUGUAGCGGUGAAAUGCAUAGAUAUCACGAGGAACCCCGAUUGCGAAGGCAGCCUGCCGGGGUGCGACUGACGCUGAGGCUCGAAGGUGCGGGUAUCAAACAGGAUUAGAUACCCUGGUAGUC